rnacentral:rRNA from 1 species
CCUACGGGUGGCAGCAGUGAGGAAUAUUGGUCAAUGGACGCGAGUCUGAACCAGCCAAGUAGCGUGAAGGAUGACUGCCCUAUGGGUUGUAAACUUCUUUUAUAAAGGAAUAAAACGAGGCACGUGUGCCUUUUUGCAUGUACUUUAUGAAUAAGGAUCGGCUAACUCCGUGCCAGCAGCCGCGGUAAUACGGAGGAUCCGAGCGUUAUCCGGAUUUAUUGGGUUUAAAGGGUGCGUAGAUGGGUUGUUAAGUCAGUUGUGAAAGUUUGCGGCUAAACCGUAAAAUUGAAAUUGAUACUGGCGUUCUGAGUUCAGGUGGGGGAAGGGGGAAUUGGGGGGU